GUACGAUCUACAUCCUCUCCAGCACUUGCUCCGUGACUUAGCAGCAGCAGCAGCUCCGUGAAGCCGAUGGUAUCUUCCACACUUUACAGACGAGGAAACUGAGUCUCAGACAGGAAGAGUGAGCCCCCCAAAGGCACAAUGCUAGCGUGAGUCAGAGGACUUGAACCCUGGCAGCUGAGCUACAGAGCCCUCACCCAUCAGCCAUCGUGCCACUGUGCUCAGUUGUGUCCAGCUCUUUGCGACCCCAUGGGCUGGAGACCACCAGGCUCCUCUGUCCAUGGGAUUUUCCAGGUGAUUGUCUCUGAGGCCUUUCUGGGGAUGCAGAGAUGGUGUGACCCUUUAAAGUUCACCUAGGAUGAGGUACUGAUAUUGGAACCGAUCGGUGUCAUUUCAUGGGGGCUCUGAAGAGCUGUGGUACCCCGUCCUUUAUGUCUCACUGCAGAGAACUCAGCAAGAGCAAAGUGGGAGAUAAGAAGUGACUUAUCAGAAUAGCUUGCGAGGCUUCCAUGCAGGACUGAUGCUGAAGCUGGAACGCCAAUCCUUUGGCCACCUGAUGAGAAGAACUGAUUCAUUGGAAAAGACCCUGAUGCUGGGAAAGAUUGAAGGCAGGAGGAGAAGGGGGUGACAGAGGAUGAGAUGGUUGGAUGGCAUCACCGACUGGAUGAACAUGAGUUUGAGUAAACUCCGGGAGUUGGUGAUGGACAGGGAGGUCUGGUGUGCUGCAGUCCAGGGGGUUGCAAAGAGUUGGACACGACUGAGCGACUGAAAUGAGCUGAACUGAGGCUGUGGGGAGCAGAAUGAGGAACAGGAAAGUGAUAGUAAAGGGUGCAGGGUUUCUGUCUGAGCUGAUGAAAAUGUUCUAAAAUUGACUGUGUGGUGGUUGUACGACUUUGAAUAUACUAAAAAUUAUUGAAAUGUUCACUUUAAAUGGGUGAACUGUAUGAUAUGUGAGUUAAAAAAAAAAACAUUUGGCCACACCAUGGGAUCUUAGUUCCCCAGCCGGGGAUCAAACCCCUGCCCCCUGCAGUGGAAGUGUGGAGUGUUAACCACUG
ensembl:lncRNA